ACCGAAAUACCAAAAUCUCCUCCACAUUUCCCCUCGCUGGAAGGGCUUUUAGUUUCCUCUCCCAAGUUGCUCCAUUUCCUCACUCACACAAGCAAAACCUCAGGCGGGACUUAGAGUCAGCUCAGGAAGACCGAUAUCUCCCUACCAAUUUGCUUAAUCCCAGGUAAGUCCUCCGCCUCCUUCACAGGUGAAGCGAAGUCCUUACUCGAUGAACAUUUCUUAUUCGAUUCAACCCCUUUUGUGUAUCUGGGCCUUUUCAUUUUAAUGGGUGUCCCUCAAUUUCAUCAUAGAAAGCUUUUGGAGCUCUAUAUGCUUAGAAUUCUCAAUCUGUUAGUAGGUUUCUUGGAUUUUUUGGGAACCGCAAAGUUUCAUUGAUAAUGGGGAGUAGAAAUGAACUCUAUAUAUUUGUUUGGUCCAAGAGUGGUUCCCAAAAUCUCGUGUUUUUUCAUCAUUUCACGACAAAUAUGCGACCGUGGGUUCGAUGGCGAUAAAGUUGAUAAUGGGUUUGGAUGCAUUGAGGAACCGUUGAAAGGAAUGUGGAGAUAUUCGGACUUUGAUUCCAUUUCUUAUGAAAAACCUGAUGAAAGCCGCGCCCGGGGACAUUUCUCGGUGAGGCAGGGUUUUUUUGACAAUGUAAAGAUUGAUGCCGGGAGGGUUCUUGAAGUUCUCGAGCAAGACGGCCCGGGGUUUGAUACGAAGUUGGCUCUAGACGAGUUGUAUGUAAGGCUUUCUGGGCUUCUUGUAAGGGAGGUUCUGUUGGGAAUUUUGAGGAAUGUAAAUUAUGGCAAUAAGAUGCGGUGUGCAAAAUUAGGGUAUAAGUUUUUCGUGUGGUCUGGUCAGCAGGGGAAUUACAGGCACACAGCAAAUUGUUACCAUUUAAUAAUGAAGAUCUUUGCAGAUUGUGAGGAGUUUAAGGCAAUGUGGAGGUUACUUGAUGAGAUGAUUGAGAAUGGGUUCCCAACCACGGCACGGACAUUUAACAUAUUGAUUUGCACUUGUGGUGGGGCGGGAUUGGCUAGGAAAGUUGUGGAGAGGUUCAUAAAAUCAAAGACAUUUAAUUACAGGCCAUUCAAACAUUCAUACAAUGCGAUUUUGCAUUCCCUUCUCGCGAUAAACCAAUACAAGUUGAUUGAGUGGGUGUAUCAGCAGAUGUUAGUUGAGGGUCAUUCUCCGGAUAUUCUAACUUAUAAUGUUGUCAUGUGUGCAAAGUAUAGGUUGGGAAAGUUGGAUCAGUUUCAUAGACUGCUUGAUGAAAUGGGUAGAAGUGGAUUUUCUCCAGACUUGCAUACAUAUAACAUUCUUCUGCAUGUUCUGGGAAAAGGAGACAAACCGCUUGCAGCCCUUAAUCUUUUGAAUCACAUGAAGGAAGUAGGUUUGGAUCCGAGUGUUCUUCACUUCACCACAUUAAUAGAUGGAUUUAGCCGGGCUGGAAAUUUGGAUGCCUGCAAAUAUUUUUUUGAUGAAAUGAUAAAGACUGGGUGUAUGCCUGAUGUGGUUUGUUACACUGUAAUGAUCACAGGAUAUAUUGUGGCUGGGGAGCUUGAGAAAGCUCAGGAAAUGUUUGAUGAGAUGAUAAUCAAGGGACAGCUUCCAAAUGUAUUCACAUACAAUUCCAUGAUUCGUGGGUUUUGUAUGGCUGGGAAAUUCGAGGAGGCAUGCUCAUUGCUUAAGGAAAUGGAAUCUAGAGGUUGUAAUCCAAAUUUUCUUGUGUACAGCACCCUAGUGAGUAAUUUGAGAAAUGCUGGAAAGCUUUCUGAAGCUCAUGAAGUAAUAAGACAUAUGGUGGAUAAGGGGCAGUAUGCUCAUCUUGUCUCGAAAUUCAAGAAAUAUAGGAGAUGCUAAAGUGGCAAAAUAUGUAAUUGGAGAUUAUUCUCUUGUAACCUCGUAGGCACAUAACUAAUUCAUCCAGCUCUUGCCUGCUGCUUCAGUUAUCAUAGAAGGAAAAAGAUUAAAAUUUCUGACCAAUGGAGGUUGCAUAGAGGUAAAUUGGCAAGCAAUCAAGAAUGUAUUUGUUUCGCAGCAUGGGUUUAUGGCAUAUGGGCCAUAUGGGUGGUGCUGUUGGUUGUUGAGUGUUUAGUCUGACUUCCUCACACGGGAGUUGUGAGAUAAAAUGUCCAGGCAGCUACAUGAGCUCUUGAGUCAGAAGACAUAAUGUGGUUCUAAGGUCAGGACUAAUUCGUUUUAUGAAACAUAUUAUGAGGAUUAGUAACUAAGAAUCAGGAUUGGUUUGCAAAACAUUUGCUGAAAUUGUUCUAAAAGAGAGAAGGGAUAUUAUGCCCCAUAUCACCAUGAAUUUUUUGUACAGCCGCAGGCUUUGGAAGAUGGUUCUUGAUUAGAAUAAACUAUGUUGGUUUAAUUCUUGAAACUGCAGUUGUUAUGGCUUGAAUAAAUAGCAUUAGAUCAUUAAAAGCUCUCUUCCCUGCCCCUCUUUCAACUGCUUUAAGCCCCCUGAUGUUAGAGUUGGAAAAACUGUAAUCAUGAGAUAAGUUUUUGACAGUUGCAUUUGAUUGUGUUCAACUUUGUUAAUAAAUGUCUCCAGAAAAUUUGUGGAUUAUUGGUUGCAGGGACCGCAUAUUGACAAGCCUAGCAAGGAAAUAUAGGUAGCUAUAUUGUUUGUCAACAUGCUGAUGCAUGCAUUGCAUAAAUGCAUAAUUCUAGUCUAUUGAAAAUGGAUUUCUAGAAUUGAACAGAUUUUCAUAGCCACAAUGUGAGACUCAUUUCCAUCGAUGAUCCCACGGGAGUAUUUCUAAUUCUCAUAGUUUUUUUAUUAUUAUUAUUUUUAUAAUGUCGUUGUUUAUGUAGUGACGCUGGGU